CGCAAUGGGCGAAAGCCUGACGGAGCGACGCCGCGUGACUGAUGAAGUUCUUCGGAAUGUAAAGGUCUUUUGUGAGGUAGAAAGUUAUUGAUCGCCUCAAGAAUAAGGGGUUGCUAAACUCGUGCCAGCAGCAGCGGUAAUACGAGUGCCCCGAGCGUUAUCCGGAAUCAUUGGGCGUAAAGGGUGUGUAGGCGGUUGUGUUAGUCUUUUGUUAAAGCUCCCGGCUUAACCGGGAAAGUGCAAGAGAAACGGCACAACUAGAGGAUGCGAGAGGUGAACGGAACUCAUAGUGUAGGGGUGAAAUCCGUUGAUAUUAUGGGGAACACCAAAUGCGAAGGCAGUUCACUGGCGCACUCCUGACGUUGAAACACGAAAGCGU
rnacentral:rRNA from 1 species